rnacentral:rRNA from 1 species
GAUGAACGCUGGCGGCGUGCCUAAUACAUGCAAGUCGAGCGAACAGACGAGGAGCUUGCUCCUCUGACGUUAGCGGCGGACGGGUGAGUAACACGUGGAUAACCUACCUAUAAGACUUGGAUAACUUCGGGAAACCGGAGCUAAUCCCGGAUAAUAUAUUGAACCGCAUGGUUCAAUAGUGAAAGACGGUUUUGCUGUCACUUAUAGAUGGAUCCGCGCCGCAUUAGCUAGUUGGUAAGGUAACGGCUUACCAAGGCAACGAUGCGUAGCCGACCUGAGAGGGUGAUCGGCCACACUGGAACUGAGACACGGUCCAGACUCCUACGGGAGGCAGCAGUAGGGAAUCUUCCGCAAAGGGCGAAAGCCUGACGGAGCAACGCCGCGUGAGUGAUGAAGGUCUUCGGAUCGUAAAACUCUGUUAUUAGGGAAGAACAAAUGUGUAAGUAACUAUGCACGUCUUGACGGUACCUAAUCAGAAAGCCACGGCUAACUACGUG